rnacentral:lncRNA from 1 species
UGAAGAGCUCCGGGACAAGAUCCUGACCGCCACCAUUGAAAACAACCGGGUCAUCCUGGAGAUUGACAAUGCCAGGCUGGCUGCGGACGACUUCAGGCUCAAGUAUGAGAAUGAGCUGGCCCUGCGCCAGAGCGUGGAGGCCGACAUCAACGGCCUGCGCCGGGUGCUGGAUGAGCUCACUCUGUCUAAGACUGACCUGGAGAUGCAGAUCGAGAGCCUGAAUGAAGAGCUAGCCUACAUGAAGAAGAACCAUGAAGAGAUGAAGGAAUUUAGCAACCAGGUGGUCGGCCAGGUCAACGUGGAGAUGGAUGCCACCCCAGGCAUUGACCUGACCCGCGUGCUGGCAGAGAUGAGGGAGCAGUACGAGGCCAUGGCAGAGAGGAACCGCCGGGAUGCUGAGGAAUGGUUCCACACCAAGAGUGCAGAGCUGAACAAGGAGGUGUCUACCAACACUGCCAUGAUUCAGACCAGCAAGACAGAGAUCACGGAGCUCAGGCGCACGCUCCAAGGCCUGGAGAUUGAGCUGCAGUCCCAGCUGAGCAUGAAAGCGGGGCUGGAGAACACGGUGGCAGAGACGGAGUGCCGCUAUGCCCUGCAGCUGCAGCAGAUCCAGGGACUCAUCAGCAGCAUCGAGGCCCAGCUGAGCGAGCUCCGCAGUGAGAUGGAGUGCCAGAACCAAGAGUACAAGAUGCUGCUGGACAUCAAGACACGUCUGGAGCAGGAGAUCGCCACCUACCGCAGCCUGCUCGAGGGCCAGGACGCCAAGAUGAUUGGUUUCCCUUCCUCAGCAGGAAGCGUCAGCCCCCGUAGCACCUCUGUUACCACGACUUCUAGUGCCUCUGUUACCACCACCUCUAAUGCCUCUGGUCGCCGCACUUCUGAUGUCCGUAGGCCUUAAAUCUGCCUGGCGUCCCCUCCCUCUGUCUUCAGCACCCAGAGGAGGAGAGAGCCGGCAGUUCCCUGCAGGAGAGAGGAGGGGCUGCUGGACCCAAGGCUCAGUCCCUCUGCUCUCAGGACCCCCUGUCCUGACUCUCUCCUGAUGGUGGGCCCUCUGUGCUCUUCUCUUCCGGUCGGAUCUCUCUCCUCUCUGACCUGGAUACGCUUUGGUUUCUCAACUUCUCUACCCCAAAGAAAAGAUUAUUCAAUAAAGUUUCCUGCCUUUCUGCAAAC